rnacentral:rRNA from 1 species
UACGUAGGGGGCUAGCGUUGUCCGGAAUCAUUGGGCGUAAAGCGCGUGUAGGCGGUCCGGUAAGUCCGCUGUGAAAGUCGGGGGCUCAACCCUCGGAUGCCGGUGGAUACUGUCGGGCUUGAGUACGGAAGAGGCGAGUGGAAUUCCUGGUGUAGCGGUGAAAUGCGCAGAUAUCAGGAGGAACACCAAUCGGCGAAGGCAGUUAACUAUUCGACUCCUGACGUUGAGGCACGAAAGCGUGGGGAGCAAGACGG